UAAUACGGGGGGUGCGAGCGUUAAUCGGAAUUACUGGGCGUAAAGCGUACGUAGGUGGCUUGAUAAGUCGGAUGUGAAAGCCCUGGGCUCAACCUGGGAACUGCAUUCGAUACUGUCUGGCUAGAGUAUGGUAGAGGGAAGUGGAAUUCCGGGUGUAGCGGUGAAAUGCGUAGAUAUCCGGAGGAACACCAGUGGCGAAGGCGGCUUCCUGGACUAAUACUGACACUGAGGUACGAAAGCGUGGGGAGCAAACAGGAUUAGAUACCCUGGUAGUCCACGCCCUAAACGAUGUCAACUAGCCGUUGGAGGAAUUUAAUCCUUUAGUAGCGCAGCUAACGCGAUAAGUUGACCGCCUGGGGAGUACGGUCGCAAGAUUA
rnacentral:rRNA from 1 species